UCCUUCAGUUCGGCUGGCUCCCGCACAGGUGCUGCAUGGCUGUCGUCAGCUCGUGUCGUGAGAUGUUGGGUUAAGUCCCGCAACGAGCGCAACCCUCAUCUUCAGUUGCCAUCAUUUGGUUGGGCACUCUGAAGAAACUGCCGGUGACAAGCCGGAGGAAGGUGGGGAUGACGUCAAGUCCUCAUGGCCCUUACGGGCUGGGCUACACACGUGCUACAAUGGCGGUGACAGUGGGUUGCGAUCCCGCGAGGGUGAGCUAAUCCCCAAAAGCCGUCUCAGUUCGGAUUGCACUCUGCAACUCGAGUGCAUGAAGUCGGAAUCGCUAGUAAUCGUGGAUCAGCAUGCCACGGUGAAUACGUUCCCGGGCCUUGUACACACCGCCCGUCACACCAUGGGAGUUGGCUUUACCCGAAGCCGGUGCGCUAACCGCAAGGAGGCAGCCGACCACGGUAAGGUCAGCGACUGGGGUGAAGUCGUAACAAGGUAGCCGUAGGGGAACC
rnacentral:rRNA from 1 species